CUAGUUAAUUCUACUAGUAGUUAUAUAUUUAUUUUAAAAAUUAAACUAUAUAUAUCUAAAUAUAAGUAAUUAUAUAGUAAAACUAUAAAUAGUUUAUUAUAUAAAUUAUUAUUUAUUUGAUAGUAUUUUACUAUUUAGAUAACUAUAAUAAUUCUAGAAUUAAUAUAUACUAAAAAUCCCAACUUUAAAAAGGAUAUAUUUAUUAGAUUAAAAACUAAUACUUUUUAAAGCUUAUUAAUAAUUCAUAAUAACUUCUCAAAUUAUAUAGCUUUAUACUAGUAAUAAUUUAUUUAAAUUUCUUCCCUAUUAACUUUUAAUAUUAGAAUAGUAUUUUAAUAUAGUUAUAAUAAGUAAUAGAAAGUUAGAACUUAAUCCUAAAGAAAAAGCCUGAGAAAUAGUUAUUAUAUCUAAGGAAAGUAGUAGGUAUACAAAUUACUUAAUCUUAAUACGGAGAAGUAGUAAUAAUAAAUAUUAAUAUAAAACUCUUUUAAGUUUUAUAAUUAGAAUAAAUAUAAUUUAAAUCUCUUAAUAAGGAAUAAUUAGAAAGUAAGUUUAGUAUUAGUAGCUAUAGUAAUUCUAACUCUAAUAAUAUAUAUUAAAAUUGUUAUAGUUAAAAAGCUUAUAGUGGAACCUUAGGCCUAGCUAGCUAGUUUACCUUACUAUAUAUAUUAAUCUAACUAAAUUUUUCCCUCUAUAAAACUAUAUACUUUUUACUAGGUAUAUUAAGGAAGUAGGAUUUUUACUUUAAAAAAAAUUAGAAUACUUUAAAUAGGUUUAUAUUUAAAUAUAUUAGUAUAGAAUAAUAGAAUAAGAUAUAUAGUUCUAUUUUAUUAGUUUUUAGGAUUACUAUAAUAAUUAAUAGGGAUAGUUAGGAAUAUUAGUAUUUAAUUAUCAGAAGCAAAAUUCUUAGAUUUAUUAAAAACUAACUACUAUAAAAGUAUUUACUAAAGAUAUUUUUAUUUAUUAAGAAUAGAAAUUAGGGGAUUAAAGAUAAUUAGAUAUUAUUAUAGUUUUAACUAUAAAUUAUACUAACUAAGGAUUAGAUAAUAUUAUUUUUUGAUUUAUUUAGUAUUUUAUAAAAAAUGAAAAUAUUUAGGCUCUA
rnacentral:ncRNA from 1 species